GCCGAUAGCUCGUGAAAGGGGUUAGGGAGAGAGAAGAAGAGAAUCAGGCGGAGAGCUGAGUAUCAGAGAAUAGGGAGUCGUUAGGUUGCGGCGUUUUUGUUGUCGACGGUGGGUUGGUGGCUGCGACACAGAUUGACAGCGGCAAGUAAUUGCCGAAAAUUGAGAAGUGAAAGGGAGAAAAUCAAAGGAUUUGACAGAUUUUGAGAAAAGGGUUUAUGUGUUCAACGCAAUUGAGAGAAAAAAGAUAAACAAGGAUAUAUGAGAAAAAGAGAUUUCUCUCUCCACCUAUUAUCAGCAACCUAAUUGCAAAAGAAAAUUCCCAAAUUUCGAACCCCUUGCCCUUACCCAAUUCUCAUCUUUUGCUAAUUCUACCACCACAUCGGCGAGUCGUCCUCUGACGGAGACUCAACCGUCAUUUGCUCAUCAAACUCUGAUGGAGACACAACCGCCGUCUUUUCUGCGCCGCCUCGAACAAACGUUGCCUAAAACUCCGGCUGGCCUGUAGCGUCACGCCGCCUCCAAGCGCAAGAGAAAGCCCAGCAAGUUUUCUUAUCUCUAUUCCAAUUUCGUUUUUCUAUUUCUUAUUCAGCAGACUUGAAUUUGUAUUUUUUUUUUCUGUUCUUAUUGAUUAUCAGCUGGAGCAAUUAUCUCUCAAAAAUGGCAGCUAUUAUUGGAGAUCGUUCAGAAACAAUUCGUUUCUGUUGAAGAGUUCGGGAAUGGACAGUGUGAAACAACAAGGAGCCUAACAAUCUCUACAACUUGCACUCUUACAAGCACUCCGGUCUGUUUCUCGAUUUUUUUUCCUAUGUGACAGUAUUUCAUUUUAUAAUUGAUGGAAAAAUAUGUCUAUAAAUAUGAUCCGUGAAAUUUUAUAAAUGUUUAUGUUUUUUUGUCCAAAAUGCUUGGGAAUUUGUUCUGUCAUUCCCUCGAGCAUAUCAUGUUGGAUUUAAUUAUGGCUUUAAUUGUGCUGAAGCAGUUAAUGUUGCUCCUGUUGAUUGGUUACCUCAUGGACAUAAUGCUAUUGAACUCUAUCGUGAGCAAAGCUGAAAAACGUCCAUUUCACAUGAUAAACUUUUGCUUGGUGCUGCUAGGGAAGCCGUGAAAACAAACUGGGAAUAUAAUUUACUGAAAAGUUUAUUGCAAAUAAUUUAUGAUGGAAGGAUGUUUGUGGAAAGGAUGGGGUUUUAUCAGAAACGUUGAAGGUAUUGUUGUUCAAUCAAUUGGUUUCAUUUGGUUGUUAUGUGCAUUCUUGAACUUUCAAAAAUUUGGAGUUUGGUAUGAGUUGCACUUGUCAUUGUAUUGAGAUGUACUAAGGACUGAAGAAAAUUUUAUUUGUUGAUUAUAUUUUUGAAAUGGUAGAUAUUGUGUUUAUUCGUAUAAUUAUUAUUGAAUAUUAUGAUUGGUAUAUCACAUAAUAUCCUGGAAUUUGUCCAAAUCGAAAGAGACCCCUUUAUGUUCUGAAAAUACAAAUGUCAAGGUUUUGCAAAUAACUUAAGUGUACUUUUCAAAAGAUAAAUGAUCAAGGAAAUAUAUGCACUUGAGGCAUUGGCUCUUGCUAUCUGCUGAAGAUAAAAUAAUUUAUUUUGAUAUUGUGAAGGAUUAGGUUUAAUUGAUUGUGGUUGUUGUUCCUCUUAUUCUGCUUAGCCUUGAACAUUGUACAAGAAUGUUCUCUCUAUUUACAGGUGGCCUAAUGUCCCAUAACUAAUUUUAUAAUUUUAGUUUUUUAUUCAGUUUUUUAGUUGUAAAGUUCACUAAUUUUUUAUUAUGUUAUUAGAUUAUCUUAAGGCGGAUUGUAAUUUUUAUUGAUUUUUCAAAACUUAAAUUAUUUUGUGAAUCAUUGGUUUAAGCAAUUUAUCUUUUCUAUCUCUUUGAAAUAUAGAGAUAACAAUUGUUGAAAUAUGGUAUGAUUUCAUGUCAAAAAAUUUGUUUUGGUAAAACUUUAACACGACUUUCUUCCUCAUUCCAGUGAUCAGCUAUGCAACAAUGAUUGUCAUUGCAUUUCUUUUUGUGAUGGGGCUUCCAAUUUACAAGUUCCAAAGAGAAGACAUCAAUCAAGUUUGAUGAGAUAAAUGACU
rnacentral:lncRNA from 1 species